GACGAACGCUGGCGGCGUGCCUAAUACAUGCAAGUAGAACGCUGAAGGAGGAGCUUGCUCUUCUGGAUGAGUUGCGAACGGGUGAGUAACGCGUAGGUAACCUGCCUGGUAGUGGGGGAUAACUAUUGGAAACGAUAGCUAAUACCGCAUAAUAACAGUUGUUGCAUGACAACUGUUUGAAAGGUGCAAUUGCAUCACUACCAGAUGGACCUGCGUUGUAUUAGCUAGUUGGUGGGGUAACGGCUCACCAAGGCGACGAUACAUAGCCGACCUGAGAGGGUGAUCGGCCACACUGGGACUGAGACACGGCCCAGACUCCUACGGGAGGCAGCAGUAGGGAAUCUUCGGCAAUGGACGAAAGUCUGACCGAGCAACGCCGCGUGAGUGAAGAAGGUUUUCGGAUCGUAAAGCUCUGUUGUAAGAGAAGAACGAGUGUGAGAGUGGAAAGUUCACACU
rnacentral:rRNA from 1 species